rnacentral:sRNA from 1 species
AGAUGACUGGGCUCCUGGGCCUUUCUCCAGUAAGCCACAGAGGAGUCAGCUGCAAAUAUUCUCUUCUGUUCUACAGACCUCUCUCCUCUUCCUGCUCAUGGAAUUCCUGGUGGAGUCUGGGUCCCAAACCCAUCUGUUUUGGUCUAGAAUUUCAAAAGUGCUCUCCAGAGCCUCGGAAGCCCUGGAAUCUGGGAAUCCAAGCUAGGGUCACCCAGAAGACACCCACAGGGUCCCUACAAGAAAAUUAACUGCCUUGGCCAAAUACCAGCUUCCUAGAUGCCUUGGUAACAAUGUUUAUCAGGAAUAUGAUCUCCCCUAAGAUGAGGAAAUCAGGAACUGUAUUAGUACCACCAGCUAUUCCCACCCCCAAACCUGGCCAAACCAAAGUCAAUCUGAGAUGCCAUGGACAAUAAGGGUGAGGUAGAGGUAGGAGAAGCUCCUUUAGUUCCCGACACUGCUAUGAGAGUUCUCAAACAUUCAGAAAAGUUGGAGCAUUUACCCUGAACAUUCAUAGGCCUACUACCUAGAUUCUAACACAAACAUUUUACUUUGCUUGCUUUAUCACUCGCCUGCCCAUCUAACCAUCCCUCUACCCACCCAUAUUUUUUAAAAUAUGCUCCUUUUUACUUCAUUGGCUCUUCACAAUUUGCAGCAACCUGCUUUCAUUUCAUUUUUACCAUAUCCCUUGAAGAAAAUGGUGCAGGUAUGAGCAUUUCAAUCUUUUAGAUAAGUAAACUGAUUCACUGAAAAAUUCAGAAAUGUACCCAAAGUCACAAGGCUAAUUCCUCUACUGGAACAGAAACCCAGAAGAUCUGUUUCACAGAUUGUUGUGGCUGCUUUUAAGGGAGACAGUGUUUGGAGAAUGGAGGAAUUAAUGACUGUGCUAGGCAAUUGACCUAGAAGAAGGAGGACAAGAAUCUCAUUUCAUUUCUCAGCAUCUGACAUUU